rnacentral:lncRNA from 1 species
AUAACCGCGAGACUUCGAGCGAGUGACCUUUUCCGCGCUGAUAAUAACCUCGUGUCCACGACCUUUUCCGCGUUUUCAGUAACCGCGAGGUUCCGCGCAAGUAAUCCUCUCCGCGUUCCCAAUAACCGCGAGGCUCUGGCAUUUUCUGGCCUUCUACAUCCGCGAAAGCAGCCUUUUUUUGCGCCUCAGCCUCGUAGAGGCAUCGUGUUCACUCGGCCCUCGGCAAGUGAUCAACGACAUCGCUACACGAUGAAGACUUGAAACGCUGUGAGCUCCCUUUUGUUUUGGUGUCGAUAAGUUGUCGCGAAACUGGUUUUUCGUUCGCAUCGUCGACCGAGACUCGAUACACCCGUCGAUUUGUGCGAUAAAAUGAUUUAGGAAAAUGAUGAAUGAAGGAGAGUAGAGGCCAGUAUCUCACGUACGCUAUCGUAGUUUUCAUUCUUGGAUUUUAUCACCUCUUGUUAUUGAGUGAACGCUUUCCCUAACCUAGUCUCAAAGUGAGGUUGGUUCUUGGACUUCAUUAAAGUGAUCGUCGGAACGUUUGCGAGGAACUUUUUCUUCGAAUCGCUGAAACUUGAUUCGUGCUUCCUGUGAAGUUUGCCGUUCUUUAAUUCGUUCUGUGAAGCGGUAAAGUGUCUCGUUUGCGGAGUGUCAAUCUGCCUGUUUCUAGUGUAGGGUGGCGUUUCAGCCGCGCAAAAACUCGAUAGUCCGGUAAAUUGAUUUAGAGAAGAAAGCAAGUGUUGGGUGAUUUCCGUCUCCUGAGCACCGCGUUUUUGUUGGAUAAACUCACCUCUCAGCGACUGUUGGAAAGCCCAGGGAAUGAGGGAACGCAGUUUGCAGAUUUGGAUUGAAAAUUCCACGCGCCACUGGGACAUCAGUCGUAACACGGUUGACUCUUAUUCCCGAGUGCUCUCCGAAAUGCUUGUCAGAGUCGAUGUGUCCGACCAACCGUGCUCCCUUUCAAUCGAAUCGCGCGAAGCAGUUUUGACGAUUCAACAAGCUCCCUCAACUUGAAAAGUAUCGAGCACAACCACUUGCGACUUAUAUUUGUGAUUCGAAUAAUUAGUUGCAUUUCACACGAUCGUAUAGCUAACAGGGUUCUAUUUUAGCCUGUAGCUAAAAUGUUCCGCUAGGUCCUUAGUCUCGUCCAUUUUCCCAAAGCAAUCAUUCAGUACAAAUGACGGAAAUUUUCGAGGGCAAAUAUUUAUCGAUCCAGAUUCUAAACUCGUGCAAAUAAAACAAAUCGAUAAAGAGAUGCAAGAUUUUUCGCACCGAGGAAGGAAGUGAAGUAAUGUUAAUUAUGACAGAAAAGACGGCUUGAAUCGUAGAAAAUAAAACAAUUAACCUACGAUCCAAUUUGUUUUGCUCAACCAUUGCAUUUAAAUAGCAGUCUUAAUAUCUAAAGUUUUCUAACAAUUUUUCGUACCUGAAUCACCCGUAGUUUAAAUUCAAUUCGUUCUGACAGUCUCCAUAAUGUCCAAAACGCAUCAGAUCUUUUUCCGAGACACCUGCACUCUUCAAGAUAUUUUAUUUGAAUUGGCUAAAAGGCCGCUUCUCGCGCCCAAACCACCGGAAAAUGCUGCACUUUUGGGAAGAAAAACCGAACUUUCAGUGAUCGAAGAAGAUUCAAGUCUGGAAACUGACAACUGCCCUAGGUCUAAGAACUAAUGGAUUCUUUACUCUGAAUCCGAGGUGAGAUUACAAUGUGUUUAAAUAUUCUGUGCAGGAAAUCGUCAAAUGUUCAUAAUCGGACGUAAACCACAGUGUACAUGAUGAAGGCCCCUCCUUCGUGAUUAUCUUGAUUUUUUACGCCGUUAAUAUCCAAAUCAUUGAAAUUAGAACUAGUUUUGUUUUUAUUUAUUUAUUUUUCAAUUUUAAAAACGCAAAUGUACCCUUUUCCUCAGUUUACGACUUAGAAGCAUAACGCGGCUUUCGUAAAUCAACUUCACCUCUCAACCAAUCGCAGCUUUGGAUUUUGAAAAAGGAGGAGCCACCCACUCCAAAUCGACGUCAAACCGCGUGACAGAUUACUUAGAAAUAUAAAUUGAGAUGGAGACUGAUUUUGCGCCGCAAAUUGCGCAGUGUUAAAAGCAAGAUGAGAGCGUUCCCAAAACAGGAGACGGGUGUAUCCUGAGCACGCAGCUGAAUUCGCUUUCGUUUCAAUUGGUGCGGCCGGCAGAGAAGAAUCAUGACGUCAUC